UUUUGAUGAUGUAUUCUAUAUAUUUGCUACUCUUGAAUCUAUUUGAUGACACGAUUCCACCAAGAUCUCUGAGUUU
rnacentral:snoRNA from 2 species